UGAGGAAUAUUGGUCAAUGGGCGGAAGCCUGAACCAGCCAUGCCGCGUGAAGGACUAAGGCCCUACGGGUCGUAAACUUCUUUUGACGCAGAGCAAUAAGGUUUACGUGUAGACCGAUGAGAGUAUGCGUCGAAUAAGCAUCGGCUAACUCCGUGCCAGCAGCCGCGGUAAUACGGAGGAUGCGAGCGUUAUCCGGAUUUAUUGGGUUUAAAGGGUGCGUAGGCGGAGAUGUAAGUCAGUGGUGAAAGGUCCCGGCUCAACCGGGGAGCUGCCAUUGAUACUGCGUUUCUUGAAUGCGGAUGCCGUGGGAGGAAUGUGUGGUGUAGCGGUGAAAUGCAUAGAUAUCACACAGAACACCGAUUGCGAAGGCAUCUCACGAAUCCGUAAUUGACGCUGAGGCACGAAAGCGUGGGGAUCAAACAGG
rnacentral:rRNA from 1 species